rnacentral:rRNA from 1 species
UACGUAGGGCGCAAGCGUUAUCCGGAAUUAUUGGGCGUAAAGAGCUCGUAGGCGGUUUGUCGCGUCUGCCGUGAAAGUCCGGGGCUCAACUCCGGAUCUGCGGUGGGUACGGGCAGACUAGAGUGAUGUAGGGGAGACUGGAAUUCCUGGGUGUAGCGGUGAAAUGCGCAGAUAUCAGGAGGAACACCGAUGGCGAAGGCAGGUCUCUGGGCAUUAACUGACGCUGAGGAGCGAAAGCAUGGGGAUCAAACAGG